GUCUGCCCUCUCGUACGCGACCCCAGGUCAGGCGGGGCUACCCGCUGAGUUUAAGCAUAUCAAUAAGCGGA
rnacentral:rRNA from 1 species